UCUAUCUAUCUAUCUAUCUAUCUAUCUAUCUAUCUAUCUAUCUACCUACCUGUGUGUGGUUAUUCACUUGCCACAAUGUGCAUACAGAGGUCAGAUGACAAACUUGAAAGAGUUGGUUCUCUCCUCACAGUGUAACCUGGACGAAACCCAGUGGAUUCUGGACUAACCUGAAUAGCAAGUAUUCUUAACCACUGAGCCAUCUCGCUGGCCUAAGACUCUCUAGCUUUCUGAGCCCCUUUCCUUGUCUAUGCCACAGGCCACUGACCUUCCCUUCGAGGCUCAGUCGGCAAUGUCUGAAAAGCCAAGAGCAAAUGUUAAUUUCCAAAGGAGGGUGCCGCUCCUACAUCGAGACCUAUUCUCUGGGAAUGUGAAAAGGAGUAUUAAAAAAAAAAUCUUUAAAAAGUGGCCCUGUGUGAUGGCACCAAUGGCGGAGAAGGGAUGUUCUGAGAAGAUAUCUGGCCGUGGUUAGUAACAGGAGUGCCAAAUCGGACAGCCAGGUCAUCCAUCUGGAGCUGGAGUUCCCCUCUUAGUAGGCAGUUCCCUUUCCAACGGCAGCAGUUUCUUCAGUGGAGCCAAGAAUCACCCAGGGUGGGGCUUAUUUGGGGCACCUAUUGUGAUCUGAAUGUUGAAUGCCCCUUCACAUGUUUGAAUACUUGGCCCUCAACUGAAGGCCGAGGAACCGCGGAGGUCAGCAGCAAAGGAGCAGCACCAGCAGGUCUCGUGACCGUCCACUGGAGCCUGGGUAUAGGAAGAGUGGAGAAGGGGUGUGGAGAACAACCACGGGGGAGGAAGUGUGAACUCCACAUGUAGCUUUGAAGAGUUGGUUCCUCUGGGGACAAAGAUGCCUGUGGCUGCCAUCCACACAGAAGAUUGCAGGGCACCAGUGUUUUCCAGAGUCAAGAAAAGCACCUGCCAUGCUUUGAGGGCUAGAAUGGCUUCCUGUUCUUCAUGCUACUCCUCUGGCUCGGCUUUCGGUUUUUAAUGACUCCCAUCACGAGACCAUUGUCAUCUCAGCUUCCUGUGAUAGCCCAAGAAUGCAUGAAAUUACCAUCUCCAACAAGAGCACAAAGCAAGCAGCCAUGCUUCACGGGCAUUAUCGCUUUAUUAAUCGCCAUUACGCCCUUCCAUCCCAGCGGCCCUUCCAGUUAGACAGGGAUGUGGUUUCAAACAAUCAUGCUGCUCUUGUAUUUUCACCAGGAUCUGUAUUAAAAGCUCUGACAGAUUGCUAAUGAGCUGAUGUUGGAAUUACAGAAUAGUCUGUUAGCCUGUGUCCGUUCACAGUUUCCUCACCAGACAGCCCAUCUGUCCUCGGAACACAGCCACCACGGAACAUGCAGGCUGGGACAGUUUCUCCAUUUACACCUUUGCCUUCAGAGGCUGCUGGAAAACCCUGCCCCUAAUUAAAGAUCUUAA